AGAACGAACGCUGGCGGCAUGCCUAAUACAUGCAAGUCGAACGAACUCUUCGGAGUUAGUGGCGCACGGGUGCGUAACGCGUGGGAAUCUGCCCCUUGGUUCGGAAUAACAGUUGGAAACGACUGCUAAUACCGGAUGAUGACGAAAGUCCAAAGAUUUAUCGCCAAGGGAUGAGCCCGCGUAGGAUUAGCUAGUUGGUGAGGUAAAGGCUCACCAAGGCAACGAUCCUUAGCUGGUCUGAGAGGAUGAUCAGCCACACUGGGACUGAGACACGGCCCAGACUCCGUACGGGAGCAGCAGUAGGAAUAUGGACAAGUGGGACGAAAGCCUGAUCCAGCAAGUGCCGCGUGAGUAGAUGAAGGUCCGUUAAGGGUUAGUAA
rnacentral:rRNA from 1 species